rnacentral:rRNA from 1 species
AUACAGAGGGUGCGAGCGUUAAUCGGAAUUACUGGGCGUAAAGCGCGCGUAGGUGGCUGUGUAAGUCGGAUGUGAAAGCCCCGGGCUUAACCUGGGAAUUGCAUUCGAAACUGCACGACUAGAGUCUGCUAGAGGGAAGUGGAAUUUCCGGUGUAGCGGUGAAAUGCGUAGAUAUCGGAAGGAACACCAGUGGCGAAGGCGGCUUCCUGGAUCAAGACUGACACUGAGGUGCGAAAGCGUGUGGAGCAAACAGUAUUAGAAACCCCAGUAGUCC